ensembl:lncRNA
CAUUUUUUCACACCUGCUCUUCCAGGUCGGUUAAAUCCAAAACACAACGUACCUGCGGUCCUCCAGGGCCACGGUUUCCUAUCACUGCUCUAUUCCCUUUGAAUGUAUUUAUGAAUAAAUGAAUUGCUGAACAAAUUAAUUAAUAAAUUAAACUUUUUACCCAAGAUAUGAGGGUUGUCUUUAACUUUGAGUCUGUUGUGUAGAGCCCGAGUCCGGCUCCUCUCCAGCUCCAACUGUUGUUUACAAGCGUUCAGCUCUACCUUCAGCAGAGAACCGGCAUCUUUAAUGACUCUGCUCAGCUCCGCCUCUUUACUGGCCCAGUGCUGAUGAAGAGUCUGAAUCUCUUCCCUGAACGAAGAACACAUUCAUUCUCUCAACCUCCACCUUCAGCCGUACCACCUCCUCUUGAAGCUGAAAGCCACAAAUCACACAACUACACGGAUCUCAACAAUACAGAACAGCUAGGGGUUCUUCUCUCUGAGUUCCUCUAGUUCUGCCUGGGUGGAUUGUAAUGCCAUAGCCACAUCCUGCCACUUCUCGCUCCAGUGUGAGGCCACACCCCUCAGCUCCUCCAUGUUCUGAGCCGACUCAGCCUCCAACCGCUGCAGCUCCUCCCCCUUCUGACACAGCCCCUCCUCCUUUUCCAGGAGCUCCGCCUCCAAGGUCAGGCAGCAUUCGUGCAGCCUCUGGUUCUCUGACUCCAAGGCAUCCUGGGAUUCACUGGUGAUGUGAUGUGAUGUUAUUGACGUUAACGAUGACAAUCCUAUCAUUAAUGCAUGUCCAUAGUUGUUGUGUUAAAGACAUUGCGAAACACAAAUCAACCCCAUAGCCUCUACCCACAAUGCACUUGUGUAGAUCUGAGAGGAUUGGAUAGGUGUAAAUAGGCCUGUGGCAGUCAUGAAAUUGUGUCAGCCGGUCAUUGUCAUAAAAAAGUCAAAAAACGUGUCUCUCGGUAAUGGACUGUUAAUUAACAUAAACACGUUUAACAACUCCAGGCCUUCACACAAACAAGCCUUUGGACCCUCUACAUUAAAAAAUGUCUUUUUUUAAGUCUAAUAAAUCAAUUUAAUAUUACACCAUCACAAUAAAUCCAUGAUUUAUUUUUAUUCAGGUCUAAAGAAACAUUAUGAUAUGAAGAAAAUGUAUUUCAGAAGAACAGAUUAUGAGUUGGUCUACUGUAUGUUAUCUGGCUAUGCUCUAUGAUAUAGACUGUAGGCCUGUUCAUUUAUCAGACUAGAUACUGUAUGUUAUCUGGCUAUGCUCUAUGAUAUAGACUGUAGGCCUGUUCAUUUAUCAGACUAGAUACUGUAUGUUAUCUGGCUAUAGACUGUAGGUUUGUUCAUUUAUCAGACUAGAUACUGUAUGUUAUCUGGUUAUAGGGCUGUAGACUUGUUCAUUUAUCAGACUAGAUACUGUAUGUUAUCUGACUAUGAUAUAGACUGUAGGCUUGUUCAUUUAUCACACUAGAUUCUGUAUGUUAUCUGGCUAUAGGCUGUAGUCUUGUUCAUUUAUCAGACUAGAUACUGUAUGUUAUCUGGCUAUAGACUGUAGGGUUGUUCAUUUAUCAGACUAGAUACUGUAUGUUAUCUGGCUAUAGACUGUAGGCCUGUUCAUUUAUCAGACUAGAUACUGUAUGUUAUCUGGCUAUAGACUGUAGGCUGGUUCAUUUAUCAGACUAGAUACUGUAUGUUAUCUGGCUAUAGACUGUAGGCCUGUUCAUUUAUCAGACUAGAUACUGUAUGUUAUCUGGCUAUAGACUGUAGGUUUGUUCAUUUAUCAGACUAGAUACUGUAUGUUAUCUGACUAUGAUAUAGACUGUAGGCUUGUUCAUUUAUCAGACUAGAUACUGUAUGUUAUCUGGCUAUAGACUGUAGGCUGGUUCAUUUAUCAGACUAGAUACUCUAUGUUAUCUGGCUAUAGACUGUAGGCUGGUUCAUUUAUCAGACUAGAUACUGUUUGUUAUCUGGCUAUAGACUUGUUCAUUUAUCAGACUAGAUACUGUAUGUUAUCUGGCUAUGCUCCAUACCAUAGGGCUGUAGGCCUGUUCAUUUAGCUGAUAAGAUAUAUUUACAAGUCCCAUGCCAUUAUUUUAAAUCAUAGGAUUUUUAUAGUAAGAAGAAUAUAAUUUAAUGUUUUUCCCCAGUCCGGAGCGUGUGGGCAUAUGAAGUGGAUAUGUUGAGUGUAAAAGUGAUCAUCUGAAACAGGCCCUAGAGGCUAGAUUUCUAGAGUUCUAGUUCUCUCAUCAAGUGAUCAUCUGAAACAGGCCCUAGAGGCUAGAUUUCUAGAGUUCUAGUUCUCUCAUCAAGUGAUCAUUUGAAACAGGCCCUAGAGGCUAGAUUUCUAGAGUUCUAGUUCUCUCAUCAAGUGAUCAUCUUCCUCUUGACAGGUGAUAUUCCGCUUGACAGGUGAUAUUCCGCUUGACAGGUGAUAUUCCUCUUGACAGGUGAUAUUCCGCUUGACAGGUGAUAUUCCGCUUGACAGGUGAUAUUCCUCUUGAUAGGUGAUAUUCCUCUUGACAGGUGAUAUUCCGCUUGACAGGUGAUAUUCUGCUUGACAGGUGAUAUUUCCGCUUGACAGGUGAUAUUCCGCUUGACAGGUGAUAUUCCGCUUGACAGG